rnacentral:rRNA from 1 species
UACGUAGGGGGCAAGCGUUGUCCGGAAUCAUUGGGCGUAAAGAGCGUGUAGGCGGUCCGGUAAGUCGGCUGUGAAAGUCCAGGGCUCAACCCUGGGAUGCCGGUCGAUACUGCCGGACUAGAGUUCGGAAGAGGCGAGUGGAAUUCCCGGUGUAGCGGUGAAAUGCGUAGAUAUUGGGAGGAACACCAGUGGCGAAGGCGGCUCACUGGACCGGAACUGACGCUGAGGCGCGAAAGCGUGGGGAGCAAACGGG